CGUGGAGUUGGACCAUGGUGUUAUCGGUGCUGCAUGAGCAGCACCAUUGAGGAGAUAGCUCUUCAUUUGGUUAAUGUCUUCUACUUCGGAGUCAAAUUGUAAUUGUCCAGUGUUGGGGAACAGGUAUAGACUUAGUGAAUUGUUUGCUUAUGGGGUCCUUUUAAAUGGUAAAAAAAAUGAAAUGGUGACACAAGGAAUAACAUGGCUAUAUACAGGAAGUACCAGGUAAUAACAUGGCUAUAUACAGGAAGUACCAGGUAAAUAACAUGGCUAUAUACAGGAAGUACCAGGUAAAUGACAUGGCUAUAUACAGGAAGUACCAGGUAAAUAACAUGGCUAUAUACAGGAAGUACCAGGUAAAUGACAUGGCUAUAUACAGGAAGUACCAGGUAAAUGACAUGGCUAUAUACAGGAAGUACCAGGUAAAUGACAUGGCUAUAUACAGGAAGUACCAGGUAAUGACAUGGCUAUAUACAGGAAGUACCAGGUAAAUGACAUGGCUAUAUACAGGAAGUACCAGGUAAUAACAUGGCUAUAUACAGGAAGUACCAGGUAAAUAACAUGGCUAUAUGCAGGAAGUACCAGGUAAAUAACAUGGCUAUAUGCAGGAAGUACCAGGUAAAUAACAUGGCUAUAUGCAGGAAGUACCAGGUAAAUAACAUGGCUAUAUGCAGGAAGUACCAGGUAAAUAACAUGGCUAUAUGCAGGAAGUACCAGGUAAAUGACAUGGCUAUAUGCAGGAAGUACCAGGUAAAUGACAUGGCUAUAUGCAGGAAGUACCAGGUAAUAACAUGGCUAUAUACAGGAAGUACCAGGUAAAUGACAUGGCUAUAUGCAGGAAGUACCAGGAAAUGACAUGGCUAUAUACAGGAAGUACCAGGUAAUAACAUGGCUAUAUACAGGGAGGUAGUAACAUGGCUAUAUACAGGGAGUACCAGGUAAUAACAUGACUAUAUACAGGAAGUACCAGGUAAUAACAUGACUAUAUACAGGAAGUACCAGGUAAUAACAUGGCUAUAUACAGGGAGGUAGUAACAUGGCUAUAUACAGGGAGUACCAGGUAAUAACGUGACUAUAUACAGGGAGGUAAUAACACUGUUAUAUACAAGGGUGUCCAUUGGCUGACUUUGGGCCCCCCAAACAUUAAAAGAUUUGUGCAGGCCAAUUGUCCGGGAGAGGAAAUAACAUUAAUAUUUUUGAUCUGUUCAUUGAAUACAUUUCACUGGUUGCUUAUCAGUCUACAGGUUAACUUCCGUGCCAUGCUUAUCAGUCUACAGGUUAACUUCCAUGCCAUGCUUAUCAGUCUACAGGUUAACUUUCAUGCCUUCUAUGAAUUUGGGAUCCAUCAUCCCACAACUGUCCCAGUGCUAUUCUAUUGGCCAACAAGCUGACCAAUAGAAUAGCUAUACUUUUCUACUGUAGGAGAUUGACAAAUGGUGCAUUCGUAAAGUAUUCAGACCCCUUGACCUUGUCCACAUUUUGUUACUUUACAGCCUUGUUAUAAAAUUGAUUAAAUAAGUUUCCCCUC